CCUACGGGAGGCAGCAGUGGGGAAUAUUGCACAAUGGGGGAAACCCUGAUGCAGCGACGCCGCGUGAGUGAAGAAGUAUUUCGGUAUGUAAAGCUCUAUCAGCAGGGAAGAAACCCACCCUCCGGGGUGGCUGACGGUACCUGACUAAGAAGCCCCGGCUAACUACGUGCCAGCCGCCGCGGUAAUACGUAGGGGGCAAGCGUUAUCCGGAUUUACUGGGUGUAAAGGGAGCGUAGGUGGCAAGGCAAGUCAGAUGUGAAAACCCGGGGUCCAACCCCGGGAGUGCAUUUGAAACUGUCUGGCUAGAGUGCAGGAGAGGUAAGUGGAAUUGCUAGUGUAGCGGUGAAAUGCAUAGAUAUUAGGAGGAACACCAGUGGCGAAGGCGGCUUACUGGACUGUAACUGACACUGAGGCUCGAAAGCGUGGGGAGCAAACAGGAUUAGAUACCCCUGUAGUC
rnacentral:rRNA from 1 species